UUACUUACCUGGCAGGGUAGAUUCUCUUUUCAGCCCUGAAUGACUCAAUGUAAUUGAGGGUAACAGCUUGUCCCCUGCAAUGCAGGCAGGCUGACCCCUGCGAGAAUCUACUUAAGCCUCCCAAUGGGAAUAUCUCUGCUACCUAAUUUAUGGUGAGGGGGAUUGCUUUCGGGCUUUCCCUCU
rnacentral:snRNA from 14 species